rnacentral:rRNA from 1 species
UGGGGAAUCUUGGACAAUGGGGGCAACCCUGAUCCAGCCAUGCCGCGUGAGUGAUGAAGGCCUUAGGGCGUAAGCAUCUUUCGUCCCUGUGAAGAUAAUGACGGUAGCAGGUAAAGAAACCCCGGCUAACUCCGUGCCAGCAGCCGCGGUAAUACGGAGGGGGUUAGCGUUGUUCGGAAUUACUGGGCGUAAAGCGCACGUAGGCGGACCAGAAAGUUGGGGGUGAAAUCCCGGGGGCUCAACCCCGGAACUGCCUCCAAAACUAUUGGUCUAGAGUUCGAGAGAGGUGAGUGGAAUUCCAAGUGUAGAGGUGAAAUUCGUAGAUAUUUGGAGGAACACCAGUGGCGAAGGCGGCUCACUGGCUCGAUACUGACGCUGAGGUGCGAAAGUGUGGGGAGCAAAACAGGAUUAGAUACCCUGGUAGUCCACACCGUAAAACGAUGAAUGCCAGUCGUCGGGUAGCAUGCUAUUCGGUGACACACCUAACGGAUUAAGCAUUCCGCCUGGGGAGUACGGUCGCAAGAUU